UACAGGGGGUGCAAACGUUGCUCGGAAUUACUGGGCGUAAAGGGCGCGUAGGCGGUUCGAUAAGUCCCGUGUGAAAUCCCUCGGCUCAACUGAGGAACUGCACGGGAAACUGACGGGCUUGAGUUCGGGAGAGGGAAGCGGAAUUCCGGGUGUAGCGGUGAAAUGCGUAGAUAUCCGGAGGAACACCGGUGGCGAAGGCGGCUUCCUGGACCGACACUGACGCUGAGGCGCGAAAGCUAGGGGAGCAAACGGG
rnacentral:rRNA from 1 species